rnacentral:piRNA from 1 species
UUUCUCCAGCUGCAAGCUACCGUGCC